rnacentral:SRP_RNA from 1 species
CCGUGCUAGCUGGGGAGGUAGCGGUGCCCUGUACUUGCAAUCCGCUAGAGCAAGAGUGAUGCUAUGUCUGCGGCAGUGGUUUGUUUGGUCUGCCUUUGGAAAGUGGUGUUGAGAGUUCAGUCUUACGCAACAGGUGCUUAUGAAUCGUGUCAGGUCUUGACGGAAGCAGCACUAAGUAAGUUGAUUUGUGUGCCGUAAGGGCGCUGGAUUUGAGCUAACUACUGAAGUAACGCUUGUGAGUCAUUGUCAAAGCAAAGUGCACGG